CCUUCAAUAGUUCAGCUGGUAGAGUGGAGGACUGUAGAUGGUGAUAUUGUGGUGGUGAUCCUUAGGUAGCUGGUUCAAUUCCAGCUCAAAGGA
rnacentral:tRNA from 1 species